AUUGAACGCUGGCGGCAGGCCUAACACAUGCAAGUCGAACGGCGCGGCAGACGGGUGAGGAAUACCUAGGAAUCUGACUGGUAGUGAGGGAUAAGGUCCGCAAACGGGAGCGAAUACCGAAAACUCUCAGAUGAGCAUAGGUCGGAUUAGGUAGUUGGUGGGGUAAAGGCUUACAAAGGCGACGAUCAGUAACUGGCCUGAGAGGCUGAUCAGUCACACGGGAACUGAGACACGGUCCAGACUCCGACGGGAGGCAGCAGUGGGGAAUAUUGGACAAUGGGCGAAAGCCUGAUCCAGCCGUGCCGCGUGUGUGAAGAAGGCCUUCGGAUUGUAAAGCACUUUAAGUUGGGAGGCGUUACCAACAGAAUAAGCACCGGCUAACUUCGUGCCAGCAGCCGCGGUAAUAC
rnacentral:rRNA from 1 species